UGCUUACACAUGCAAGUCGAACGAUGAACCUCCUUCGGGAGGGGAUUAGUGGCGAACGGGUGAGUAACACGUGGGCAAUCUGCCCUUCACUCUGGGACAAGCCCUGGAAACGGGGUCUAAUACCGGAUACGACCUCCGACCGCAUGGUCUGGUGGUGGAAAGCUCCGGCGGUGAAGGAUGAGCCCGCGGCCUAUCAGCUUGUUGGUGGGGUGAUGGCCUACCAAGGCGACGACGGGUAGCCGGCCUGAGAGGGCGACCGGCCACACUGGGACUGAGACACGGCCCAGACUCCUACGGGAGGCAGCAGUGGGGAAUAUUGCACAAUGGGCGAAAGCCUGAUGCAGCGACGCCGCGUGAGGGAUGACGGCCUUCGGGUUGUAAACCUCUUUCAGCAGGGAAGAAGCGAGAGUGACGGUACCUGCAGAAGAAGCGCCGGCUAACUACGUGCCAGCAGCCGCGGUAAUACGUAGGGCGCAAGCGUUGUCCGGAAUUAUUGGGCGUAAAGAGCUCGUAGGCGGCUUGUCGCGUCGGAUGUGAAAGCCCGGGGCUUAACCCCGGGUCUGCAUUCGAUACGGGCAGGCUAGAGUUCGGUAGGGGAGAUCGGAAUUCCUGGUGUAGCGGUGAAAUGCGCAGAUAUCAGGAGGAACACCGGUGGCGAAGGCGGAUCUCUGGGCCGAUACUGACGCUGAGGAGCGAAAGCGUGGGGAGCGAACAGGAUUAGAUACCCUGGUAGUCCACGCCGUAAACGUUGGGAACUAGGUGUGGGCGACAUUCCACGUCGUCCGUGCCGCAGCUAAC
rnacentral:rRNA from 1 species